AUGUAACAAGGUAGCAAGAAAGAAGGGCGGGGGAAUGUGAAAGCGAUCUCUAAUCCCAGUACAGAUUGAUAAUAAGCCGCACUUAUUUAAAGGACAGGCGAAGGCGCAGGGCAGCUGGGGUCCUGUUAGCAUUUGCCUGUUGCUCAGCUUGUGGCCGUGUGGGAUCGGGAGUCCCCGUGUAUCUUUCUAUGUAUGAGACGAAUGUGAUAGUUUGAAGCUCAGGACCAUCGUGUAUAUGAUUUUUGCUCUGCUAAGAAUGUGGGUGUUUGAUGUUCUGGACCGUCAUGUGUCUGGUUGGUUUCGCCCUGUUAAGGUUGCUGUGGUUUGAAGUGUGCAGUGUAAUUACUCCUCCCUGUGGUAAUCUUUACUAUUCCUUGCCCGUUGAUGUAUACCCGCUGACGGUGGCUACCCUUGUGGGCUGUUUCCGGUCCGGGUGGAUGACCCAAUUUAUUUUAAUACUUUGUUAAAUAAAGUAUAAUGUAUUUUUCUACUA